AAGUUAAUAAUAAAAGGUAAUAAGAUAUAAACCAAUAUGUAAUGGUAGUCUUUAUAAAUUAAAGAAGCUCGUCUUAUAAUCGUAAACACCCGCUAAUUUUUACUUAAUCUUAAAAGUUUAUAUACCGCCGUUAAGAUUUAAUAAUAUAUACAUGUCUAAUCCUACUAACAACAAAUUUCAGGUCAAGGUGUAACCCGUUAUUAAGGAAAGAUAAGCUACACAUAAACAAGAAAUUAAGAAAGAAAAACAAAAGUACAUCAGAAAAAGAAUUUAUAUGUAAAUAGUGAUUAAAACUCAUUAUAGAACUUAUAAAUAAAGAUGC
rnacentral:rRNA from 1 species